AGUGAACGCUGGCGGUAGGCCUAACACAUGCAAGUCGAACGGCAGCACAGUAAGAGCUUGCUCUUACGGGUGGCGAGUGGCGGACGGGUGAGGAAUACAUCGGAAUCUACUUUUUCGUGGGGGAUAACGUAGGGAAACUUACGCUAAUACCGCAUACGACCUACGGGUGAAAGCAGGGGAUCUUCGGACCUUGCGCGAUUGAAUGAGCCGAUGUCGGAUUAGCUAGUUGGCGGGGUAAAGGCCCACCAAGGCGACGAUCCGUAGCUGGUCUGAGAGGAUGAUCGGCCACACUGGAACUGGGACACGGUCCAGACUCCUACGGGAGGCAGCAGUGGGGAAUAUUGGACAGUGGGCGCAAGCCUGAUCCAGCCAUACCGCGUGUGAGAAGAAGGCCUUGGGUUUGUAAAGCCCUUUUGUUGGGAAAGAAAAGCAGCAGGUUAAUACCCCGCUGUUCUGACGGUACCCAAAGAAUAAGCACCGGCUAACUUCGUG
rnacentral:rRNA from 1 species